UUGGGUUUUAGUUCAUUCCAGAUGCAGAUG
rnacentral:piRNA from 1 species